GACGAACGCUGGCGGCGUGCUUAACACAUGCAAGUCGAACGAUGAAGCCGGAGCUUGCUCUGGUGAAUUAGUGGCGAACGGGUGAGUAACACGUGAGUAACCUGCCCUUGACUCUGGGAUAACUGCGGGAAACUGUAGCUAAUACCGGAUACGACCCUCGGAGGCAUCUCCUGGGGGUGGAAAGAAUUUCGGUCAAGGAUGGACUCGCGGCCUAUCAGCUAGUUGGUGAGGUAAAGGCUCACCAAGGCGACGACGGGUAGCCGGCCUGAGAGGGUGACCGGCCACACUGGGACUGAGACACGGCCCAGACUCCUACGGGAGGCAGCAGUGAGGAAUUUUCCGCAAUGGGCGAAAGCCUGACGGAGCGACACCGCGUGAAGGAUGAAGCUUUUCGGAGUGUAAACUUCUUUUAUGUGUGAAGAUUAUGACGGUAACAUAUGAAUAAGCACCGGCUAACUACGUGCCAGCCGCCGCGGUAA
rnacentral:rRNA from 1 species